rnacentral:rRNA from 1 species
CGAACGCUGGCGGCAUGCCUAAUACAUGCAAGUUGAACGAUGAUAUUCUCUGCUUGCAGAGAAUUGAAGAGUAGCGAACGGGUGAGUAACACGUGGGGAACCUGCCCAUGAGAGGGGGAUAACAUUCGGAAACGGAUGCUAAUACCGCAUAAUACUUUGGACCGCCUGGUCCAAAGACGAAAGACGGCUUUUGCUGUCACUCAUGGAUGGCCCCGCGCCGUAUUAGCUAGUUGGUGAGGUAAUGGCUCACCAAAGCUGUGAUACGUAGCCGACCUGAGAGGGUGAUCGGCCACACUGGGACUGAGACACGGCCCAGACUCCUACGGGAGGCAGCAGUAGGGAAUCUUCCACAAUGGGCGAAAGCCUGAUGGAGCAAUGCCGCGUGAAUGAAGAAGGUCUUCGGAUCGUAAAGUUCUGUUAUUAGAGAAGAACAAGUCAAGGAGUAACUGUCUUGACUUUGACGGUACCUAACCAGAAAGUCACGGCUAACUACGUG